CUCUCUUAGCCAAGUGUCUCCACCGCCCUCAUUGGCCAACCGCCGCUUGGCCGCCCUUUGCCAGAGCUCUCGAUUUGAGUUGAUUUCUCUCCCGGUCACAAAGACCAUGUCCCAUGCCAGUCCUGCUGCCUGACGGUUUCGGCCUCUGUUCCAACAACGGGCGACCUUCCUCCGGUGCUCCAAGCUGUGCAAUUGUGUUCCUCAUCUUAUCCACAAAGUUGUUGUGGCUGGCUUCCGAUGAAAUAGCCGCAAGAGCUCUUCAAUUAGCUACUUGACGAGCUUCCAUUGGCUGAUUCGUGAAGUCGUUUGAAGUAAUACGGUGGCCAAUUAGCUUGAUUGAGCGUUGAAAAGUCUAUUGAUAAGGUGAGUAGUCUCCAAAUUUAGUAUAGGAAAUGUAGGAUGAAUGACAUGGCCAAAUAUGCAUGUGAAAUUGUGAAGGCCAAUUGCUAAUAUUGAGAUUGUUGUUGUAGGCUUAGAAUGAUGAUCGAAUGACAUAUGUUGUGUAGAAAUGGCUUGGCAAUUGCUUGUGGAUUGAUUGUUGAUUGUUAUCAUGUUCUGGAAAAUCAGAGCUCACUGAAUUAAUAAGCUUUGUCUAAUGAUUUGAGCCUUGAAAUGUUGAAAUCUUGAAAUCUUGAAAAGUGUUCAACUAGAGAAUCAAAAUAGACAUCCUCAGCUUCAAUUUAGUAGGUUUCAUGUCGAAGUCGAACAUCAUUUAUUAAGUCAAAUCGUCCUCGUGAUUUGAGGUCAGAAUCUGGAAAAUUUUAUUCUCUCUUCUGUGAUGAUUCAUUCCUGAUCAACCUUAUUUGGUUCAACGAUUUUUUUGAUUUUUUGUGCUCAUAAUCUAGAAAAUAUUUCUUCAUGAAAGUUUCAGAAAACAUCUUGAUCUUUCUAUCCUAAAAAUUUCAUAAAAUUCCAUGAUAAUUUGAUCAAUACAAUCCUUGCUCAAAGAGACGAUUUCAAUUCCGUGAUGACUGUUUUCCUAUUGACCUUUGCUUGUUUUAUGAUUUUUACGAUUUUUUGCAUUUGGAAUUUCACAACGUUUUCUUCAUGAAAGUUUUAAUUAAGAGUCUGAUAUUUCCAAUGGUAUCAAUUUUAUCAAAAUUGUAACUCGUUUUGUUGCUCAAGGGUCUGAUCAAUAUGCCGAUUGAUUUCCAUACUCAGAUCUGGAAAAUUGUCUUGAGCAUCCAAACGUGUUUUGCAAUUUUGGUAAAAUUCAUGUCCUUUUUUGCAAUAAAAUCAAAACUAAAAAUUUGUUGAUUAGGGUCUUAAUUUGUAAACUAGAAAAUUGGAGGACCUAAUAGCAACUUUUUAGGGGGUCAUUUGGCAGAAAUUUCGGAUAAGGUCAUCUGACCUGAAAACUGUUUUCAAUUGAGUCCUGGGUAAAAGUUUAAUUACUAGAAAAAAUCAGGGGCUUUUCAGUAAAAUACUAAAAUACAAAAGUUGUUUAGGACACCCUGUCCUAACUCUCUGUAAAAUUUGACGUAUUUUUUACCUCAUUUGAUAUUUUUCCCACAUUUUUUCAAAUCAUGGGCUGGAAACUGGUCAAGUCUUGGGUAUCUGGUUUAAUUCACAAUUUUCAGGUAAAUCAGAUUAGAACCGGUCGAAAUGAUCUUCACGAACUUUGAACUUAACAUCUUAAAAUUUCUAAUGGUUCUUGAAUCGACUUAAUUGAACUCCAUUUGAUAAGCCAAUUGAGUCUAAACAGAAUCUGCUUGAAAUAUGGAGUUUAAUUGAAUAAGUGAUCCUCACGAGGCUUACUUCCUCGUUGUGAUUGAUUCAGAAACAAGGCCACUUGGCCUAAUUGCAUGCCUAAUUUGUUGCUUAUACGUGUGUUUGCUAGAUGAAUGAUUAAAUGUGAUGCUUGUUUGAUGGGUAGCCUGUUGAGGACGUUUAGAACCGACUUUAGGAGUCAAUUGAUAUCGACCAUCGUUUAAUGAAUGCAAUUGGUGGCCGAUCAUCAUUAACCAUCAAUUAAUGAAUCUUAGUCAUUAGGAAUGGGAGAUGAUCAAAAUGCAUGAAAGGCAAAGGCUAACCCCGAAGCCAGUUCAUUGCUUUGAUGAUUGGGUAUUAUUGUUUUGCCUUGCUUGUUUGCCUACAUUGGAAAGUCAAUCAAAAACCGAUACCACCGAGGUGGUCCAUGGAGGAGGCAGCCCAGGGUCAUGAAGUGGGAGGCCAAAGACCGAUGUCCAAUCCUAUCUCAUUUUGUAUUCCAUUCGAUACAUGACCAUGUCUCAGAUUUCAGUUAGUUUUGUAAUAAAUAGCUGACGAGUCGUGGGUUUUCCUUCAUUACACUUAGAUUGGUUCGUCUUUCAACUUAAUUGGAUGUUUACUUACCACAUUGCAUUUUCAAUACAAUUGCUUGUUAAUUUCCCUUUUU